UACGUAGGGUGCAAGCGUUGUCCGGAAUUAUUGGGCGUAAAGAGCUCGUAGGCGGUUUGUCGCGUCUGCUGUGAAAUCUGGGGGCUCAACCCCCAGCCUGCAGUGGGUACGGGCAGACUAGAGUGCGGUAGGGGAGAUUGGAAUUCCUGGUGUAGCGGUGGAAUGCGCAGAUAUCAGGAGGAACACCGAAGGCGAAGGCAGAUCUCUGGGCCGUAACUGACGCUGAGGAGCGAAAGCAUGGGGAGCGAACAGG
rnacentral:rRNA from 1 species